rnacentral:rRNA from 1 species
UACGGAGGGGGCAAGCGUUGUUCGGAAUUACUGGGCGUAAAGGGCGCGUAGGCGGCCUUCUAAGUCGGACGUGAAAUCCCCGGGCUCAACCCGGGAACUGCGUCCGAUACUGGAAGGCUUGAAUCCGGGAGAGGGAUGCGGAAUUCCAGGUGUAGCGGUGAAAUGCGUAGAUAUCUGGAGGAACACCGGUGGCGAAGGCGGCAUCCUGGACCGGUAUUGACGCUGAGGCGCGAAAGCCAGGGGAGCAAACGGG